rnacentral:rRNA from 1 species
UAUUGCGCAAUGGGGGAAACCCUGACGCAGCGACGCCGCGUGUGCGAUGAAGGCCUUCGGGUUGUAAAGCACUUUUGGCAGGGAAGAAAAGGCGCAGGCUAAUACCCUGUGCUGCUGACGGUACCUGCAGAAUAAGCACCGGCUAACUACGUUCCAGCAGCCGCGGUAAUACGUAGGGUGCAAGCGUUAAUCGGAAUUACUGGGCGUAAAGCGUGCGCAGGCGGUUCGGAAAGAAGGAUGUGAAAUCCCGAGACUUAACCUCGGAACUGCAUUCUUAACUGCCGGGCUAGAGUAUGUCAGAGGGGGGUAGAAUUCCACGUGUAGCAGUGAAAUGCGUAGAGAUGUGGAGGAAUACCGAUGGCGAAGGCAGCCCCCUGGGAUAAUACUGACGCUCAUGCACGAAAGCGUGGGGAGCAAAC